rnacentral:rRNA from 1 species
GACGAACGCUGGCGGCGUGCUUAACACAUGCAAGUCGAGCGGUAAGGCCCUUUCGGGGGUACGACGAGCGGCGAACGGGUGAGUAACACGUGGGUGACCUGCCCUCAGCUCUGGGAUAAGCCUGGGAAACUGGGUCUAAUACCGGAUAUGACUCCAUGACGCAUGUUGUGGGGUGGAAAGCCUUGUGCGGCUGAGGAUGGGCCCGCGGCCUAUCAGCUUGUUGGUGGGGCGAUGGCCUACCAAGGCGACGACGGGUAGCCGGCCUGAGAGGGCGACCGGCCACACUGGGACUGAGACACGGCCCAGACUCCUACGGGAGGCAGCAGUGGGGAAUCUUGCGCAAUGGGCGAAAGCCUGACGCAGCGACGCCGCGUGAGGGAUGACGGCCU